rnacentral:rRNA from 1 species
AGAUUGAACGCUGGCGGCAGGCCUAACACAUGCAAGUCGAGCGGUAGAGAGGUGCUUGCACCUCUUGAGAGCGGCGGACGGGUGAGUAAUGCCUAGGAAUCUGCCUAGUGGUGGGGGAUAACGUUCGGAAACGGACGCUAAUACCGCAUACGUCCUACGGGAGAAAGCGGGGGACCUUCGGGCCUCGCGCCAUUAGAUGAGCCUAGGUCGGAUUAGCUAGUUGGUGAGGUAAUGGCUCACCAAGGCGACGAUCCGUAACUGGUCUGAGAGGAUGAUCAGUCACACUGGAACUGAGACACGGUCCAGACUCCUACGGGAGGCAGCAGUGGGAAUAUUGGACAAUGGGCGAAAGCCUGAUCCAGCCAUGCCGCGUGUGUGAAGAAGGUCUUCGGAUUGUAAAGCACUUUAAGUUGGAGGAAGGUUGUAACUUAAUACGUUGCAACUUUGACGUUACCGACAGAAUAAGCAACCGGCUAAACUUCGUGCCAAGCAAGCCCGCGUUAAC